GCUGGCGGCAGGCCUAACACAUGCAAGUCGAACGAACUCUUCGGAGUUAGUGGCGGACGGGUGAGUAACACGUGGGAACGUGCCUUUAGGUUCGGAAUAACUCAGGGAAACUUGUGCUAAUACCGAAUGUGCCCUUCGGGGGAAAGAUUUAUCGCCUUUAGAGCGGCCCGCGUCUGAUUAGCUAGUUGGUGAGGUAAAGGCUCACCAAGGCGACGAUCAGUAGCUGGUCUGAGAGGAUGAUCAGCCACAUUGGGACUGAGACACGGCCCAAACUCCUACGGGAGGCAGCAGUGGGGAAUCUUGCGCAAUGGGCGAAAGCCUGACGCAGCCAUGCCGCGUGAAUGAUGAAGGUCUUAGGAUUGUAAAAUUCUUUCACCGGGGACGAUAAUGACGGUACCCGGAGAAGAAGCCCCGGCUAACUUCGUGCCAGCAGCCGCGGUAAUACGAAGGGGGCUAGCGUUGCUCGGAAUUACUGGGCGUAAAGGGAGCGUAGGCGGACAUUUAAGUCAGGGGUGAAAUCCCGGGGCUCAACCUCGGAAUUGCCUUUGAUACUGGGUGUCUUGAGUAUGAGAGAGGUGUGUGGAACUCCGAGUGUAGAGGUGAAAUUCGUAGAUAUUCGGAAGAACACCAGUGGCGAAGGCGACACACUGGCUCAUUACUGACGCUGAGGCUCGAAAGCGUGGGGAGCAAACAGGAUUAGAUACCCUGGUAGUCCACGCCGUAAACGAUGAUUGCUAGUUGUCGGGAUG
rnacentral:rRNA from 1 species